UUUUGACAAAAAGUCAGUAACUAGAAAACAAAAAUGUUAAUUUAAAAUAAGUUAAGAAAGGCUCUCAUUUAUUUUUUGUCACUAUUCAUUUCUUAUAUCCUUAUAUCAAGAUCCUUACUUCUUUCUAAACGUCUUCCUACGCCAAAUGUAAAUACUUGGAAAUUCAACAAAUUGAAAAACAUGCGAUGAGCUCGUGCAUGGCCCAAAUAUUGCCCACAUUUUUCUCUAGAAAUGCGAUGGCAAUGCGCAUUUGGUUAAGAAAAAUACCAAACUUGAAGCAAUCGACCACAAGACAAGUGUCUGGCCAUGAUGAUGAUUGAGCUGAUGGCGAUGAUGAUGAUGUGACUGUAUCCGUGUGUAUUUGUGUGUGUUGUUGUUGCUGUGGUCGCCCCAAAUCAUUAAUUUGAGAAAACGUGACUUUUUUGCCAUAUUUUGAAUUCUAAUUCCACUCAUUAGUCGGCGCUGUCGCCGUUGCCAUUCUAAACAUAACUUCAAAAGGUGCAGACUGCACUUGUGACACGUUUCGUAAUCUCUUGGCUGGGUUGGCUGCCUGCUCGGGUUGGCUGGCAAAGCCUUUUUCGCAAUUUUCCAUAAGCAGGCAACAACAUACAUUGCACUAGAAGAUGUGCAGCUGUGACUGCCAAGAUGCCGCAGCCGAGCAGCAGAUACAGAUACAGAUGCUAACGCUAACCUGCAGCUAAGUACACCUGUAACAAACAGAAAGUUAUUUCAGCCACAGCUGAGCGGCUUUUAAAAACAAAUCGUAGGGUGAAGCCAGCGAGAGCCAGCGAGGACAACAGCCAAGCAGCCAGUACAACAGGCGCAGGAGAAGGCAGCACCCAAACAAGGAUAAGCGCCAGGCAAGCGUAAAGAUACAUAUAAAAGAGGUUUUCGUUUGCAAAUGCGACGCAGCAAGGUGUACGCUGUAUACAAACAAACCAAUCCCACACACACACACAGACAUGGAAAGAGACAGUCACACACACACACACACACACACUCGUAACUUGAAGAAGAAACAAAUAAAAAUGGCGAAAUAAAGCAGAAAA